AGCAUGUGGUUUAAUUUCGAAGACAACGCGAAGAACCUUACCAGGUCUUGACAUGCCGCUGACCGGUUUAGAGAUAGAUCUUUACCCUUCGGGGUACAGCGGACACAGGUGGUGCAUGGUUGUCGUCAGCUCGUGUCGUGAGAUGUUGGGUUAAGUCCCGCAACGAGCGCAACCCUUGUCUUUAGUUGCCAUCAUUAAGUUGGGCACUCUAAAGAGACUGCCGAUGACAAAUCGGAGGAAGGUGGGGAUGACGUCAAAUCAUCAUGCCCUUUAUGUCCUGGGCUACACACGUGCUACAAUGGUCGGUACAACGAGAAGCAAGUCAGCGAUGGCAAGCAAAUCUCUAAAAGCCGAUCCCAGUUCGGAUUGCAGGCUGCAACUCGCCUGCAUGAAGUCGGAGUUGCUAGUAAUCGCGGAUCAGAAUGCCGCGGUGAAUGCGUUCCCGGGUCUU
rnacentral:rRNA from 2 species